UACGAAGGGUGCAAGCGUUACUCGGAAUUACUGGGCGUAAAGCGUGCGUAGGCGGUUUGUUAAGUCCGUUGUGAAAGCCCUGGGCUCAACCUGGGAAUUGCAGUGGAUACUGGCGAGCUAGAGUGCGGUAGAGGAUGGUGGAAUUCCCGGUGUAGCGGUGAAAUGCGUAGAGAUCGGGAGGAACACCCGUGGCGAAGGCGGCCAUCUGGACCAGCACUGACGCUGAGGCACGAAAGCAUGGGGAGCGAACGGGG
rnacentral:rRNA from 1 species